UAGUGGUUCUUGUUUAACUGAUAAGUUCCAAGUAAAUUUAUAUGAUACAAAAGAAUGAGUAGCACCAAUAUCAAUCAAGGCAUAAGUGGUAGAGUUAUAAACAGAGAGUGUACCCUCAAUGACAGCUAGUGUAGUAAUGGUGCCAGGCUCAUUAAGAUGGAAGACUUUUCCUUAUGUGACUGGCUUCACAAUGUCCUGAGGCUUCUAGGGACAAUCCUUUACAAAAUAUUGUGUGUUCUCGCACUUAUAGCAGGAGUUGUUCAAAUGAUGGUAGGGUCGGUCACCAUGACCUUAUCUGCAACAUCGACAGGACUGGCCAAAUUGAAAGGAUUUUACAAGAGGUGGGGCAGAGCAGGAUUUGGUGUUAUAUGGGGUUUUUUAUUAGUACGGUCAAGACCAAGGUCAGUUAUUAUCCUCUUGGGCUGCUGUUGAGUACAGAUGUGAGUGAUAUACU
rnacentral:lncRNA from 1 species